rnacentral:rRNA from 1 species
UACGUAGGGGGCAAGCGUUAUCCGGAUUUACUAGGUGUAAAGGGAGCGCAGACGGAACUGCAAGUCUGAUGUGAAAGCCCAGGGCUCAACCGCGGGACUGCAUUGGAAACUGUAGAUCUGGAGUGCCGGAGGGGCAAGCGGAAUUCCUGGUGUAGCGGUGAAAUGCGUAGAUAUCGGGAGGAACACCGGUGGCGAAGGCGACUUGCUGGGCAGCAACUGACGCUGAGGCGCGAAAGCCAGGGGAGCAAACGGGAUUAGAUACCCGGGUAGU